UACGUAGGGUGCGAGCGUUAAUCGGAAUUACUGGGCGUAAAGCGUGCGCAGGCGGUUUGUCAAGUCCGCUGUGAAAGCCCCGGGCUCAACCUGGGAAUUGCAUUCGAGACUGAAUAGCUAGGGUACGGUAGAGGGAAGUGGAAUUUCCGGUGUAGCGGUGAAAUGCGUAGAUAUCGGAAGGAACAUCAGUGGCGAAAGCGACUUCCUGGACCAGUACCGACGUUCAGGCACGAAAGCGUGGGGAGCAAACAGG
rnacentral:rRNA from 1 species